rnacentral:rRNA from 1 species
UACGAAGGGGGCUAGCGUUGCUCGGAAUUACUGGGCGUAAAGGGCGCGUAGGCGGAUAGUUUAGUCAGAGGUGAAAGCCCAGGGCUCAACCCUGGAAUUGCCUUUGAUACUGGCUAUCUUGAGUUCGGGAGAGGUGAGUGGAACUCCGAGUGUAGAGGUGAAAUUCGUAGAUAUUCGGAAGAACACCAGUGGCGAAGGCGACUCACUGGCCCGAUACUGACACUGAGGCGCGAAAGCGUGGGGAUCAAACAGG